AUCGUUCUAUUCUCGCAGGAGUGACGUUUCGGACCAAAGAAAAGAGUUGACGAAAGUCAGAUUGAAUAACCUCUUUAGAAAGAAGAGCUUGUUAGACCUGACUGUUGAUGUCAUUUUGGGAAACAUCAUCGCAAACAAAGGAGGAAACAGAUUAAAUCCCAAAUGUCUGCCUGUAUGUCUGCGCCAGAAACUGUUGUUCAGCUUGACGAACCUAACGUGCAAAAAUGAUAAUGGAAACAUGGACAAAUUUAAAAAAAUACUUCAAGCUUUUGUAUAUCUGCUUAGGGCGGAUGCUCAGCCUAAGGAAAUCGAGCUGUCCAAACUGUUGACAUUUUGCCCAAAACACCAGAUCCAAUUAAAACAACUUUUAAGGGUGCUGCAUGUGAUUGCAACCCAUGCCCCUGGUCUUGAAUCUCUGACUAUUACAAAGACUAAUGUGUGGGGUGAACCGAUCACUUGCGAUGCCAUCUUAAACAGUCAAAUUUUGGCAGCAAUUGCCAGGAUGGAAAAGCUAAAAGUGUUUCGAGUUUACAAUUUCAAAAUCAAGUUUUUGGACUUAAGAUUCAUAUGCAAGAAAUUGAAAAAUUUAGUAACUGUUGACGUGAGACUUGACCCAGAAUGUCUCGUUAUAGGAGACCUCAAUGAAUUCAAAAGUAGCUUUUCACACUUAAAAGUUAUUUUGUUUUCAGCAGCGCAAUGUGCAGGUCAUAGGAACAGAAUUGACCCCGAUUACGUCUUGCAAUUUAUCAAUCGGUUGAUUAAACUAUGCUAUCAACACUUGCCAAAUCUAAGUAUUGUCCAGGACUGCUAUACCAUCAGAGUACCACGCAAAGUUGUUGAAAUCUUCACUCUUGAAUAUCACACCAACGCUCAGCUACGGCACUUUAGCAUUCCCUGCCCAAGCUCAAAAGUUGCAAAACCAUGGCACCUGCUAUUUCCCAACGUUACACA